ACCUCAGCAAAAUGGCGUGGCUGAUUAAUCCCAAUUAUUGCGUUCACUCUUCUUUAUUAUGUACACAUAUCGGUCAUGUAAAAGAAUAAUCAGCACAUUUUUCGUACAGAAUUCGUCUCGGGCUAGUAGUAUACUUGUUAGCUUCCGCUAUCAACGCGACCCGGAAGUUAUCGAGAGUACGCGGGGGAACUUUCUCGAACAAAAGAGAACGAGCGACAAAGUCAACUACUGGACACUGUUUUCAAGAAGUCCCCCUUUAAGAUGGCAGUGAAGGAGGACCCCCCCCCCCCUUCCACAACAACAUAACAGAAGCCCAUGGAGACCUUUGUGAAGGAUGAGAAGCAGAUUGCCUCUUAGCGCCACAAUCAGAUAAUGUUGACACGUCACAUUGUGCUGACACUGAUGAAGCCUCCAAAGCUGAUAUUACAUGUCACACUGACAACACUGGGAAUGCUCUCAGUGUGACAAAACUUUUGGUGACAAGAAAUCUCUGAUGACACACACGAGAUGUCAUGCUGACAGAAACUGGAAAUGCUCUCAAUGUGGAAAAGUGUUUAAUUGCAAGUCAUCUUAGGAAAUCCACAUGAAGGUCCACAUAAGAGAAAAACCAUACAUCUGCUCAGUUUGUUGUCACGCCUCACAAAAGGCAACUUUGACAGCACACAUGAGAAUACACACUGGGAAGAAACCUUUUCCCUGCCCAGUCUGUGGUAAAGGAUUCUCUCAAAAGGGAGUUACGAGAUCACAUGCAAAAAUACACACUCGGGAGAAACCUUUCACCUGCUCAGCCUGUAGCAAAUGUUUUACAGAUCAUUGUUCACUGUUGAAACACAGUACACAUGGGCGAGAAACCAUUUCCCUGUUCCAUCUGCAGAAAACGUUUUUGUGAUCUGAGGUUGUUAAACUCAGGCCCGGGACCAAAUGUGGCCCGUGUGUGAUGGAAUUUCAUCCGGCACACGGAAAUAACCAUUUGGAAAACAGCAGAGUUGGCCCCGCCUCACUGACCCUAUUAAACUAAGUGCUUUCAGUGAUCGGCAUAAUUAAGUACUUAUUCCGGUAUAAACCAUUCCUCUAAAAUGGAAACAUAUACAGCACGAAAUAAUAAGGGUGCCAGAUUAAGCCCAAAAAUCAAAAUAAUGUAGUUGUAUGUAACUAAAAACAGCAACACGUUAACUAUUACACCCUGUCUGUACAAAUUAACACCUUAAAUAGCACAAGUCAUUCAAAAGUGAUCAUUUCAACUACACCAAAGAAUGCUGGGAAAUGGAUAAUCUGCCCUUUUCACAUCUGCAAAACCUUCCGAGUUUUGCCUUUCUGUGUGCAUGUGAGAAAAGUGUUUUGGCAGAGCUGCCUGUGAUUGGCUGCUGUCCAGGGAACCCCACCUCAACGACCUCUUCUCUCAACCGAUUGACAACCUAUUCCAUUAUCAAACUGUAGGAGUCAAAGCGCUGGACACCAUGGCCUGUCCACACUGUUUCCUGGCAGUGGUCCUUUUACUGUGCAGUCCAUUAUCCAUGCUGCGAAUUACCACCAGCGGCUCAAUGGCGUUGGGGAUAUUAGUCCCCAUCAACAGGUUGAUCCCUGCAUUGACUUGAGGCCGCACUUAAAACAAGCGCUCAUCUUCAGCAUUCCUUGCUGAUGUGCCCCCUGCAGACAGCCACAGCAGAAGGCGGUCUCCUUCAAGAAAGAUGGAGGAGGUGGAGGUUGCACAUCAUGCUGUAUGUCCUGUACUUUGGGUGGGAAAGGCACUGGAGGAUGCUCUGAAGUACUGCACAAAGGUUUUUGUAUAACGGCAGACACGAUGCAUCAGCGUCCCAAUACGGAUUCCUUAAUCCAUGGACAACGAAUGAAACAGGUGGCUUCACUAACAUGGCUCCUCUGUCGUGAUGCCAAAUUAACAGGAAGAUGAAGAGACUACACAGAAGCUCACGGUUUCCCACUGUGGAUUAUACUUUGUAUAAUUAUAUAUACUUUAUACUUUGUAUUCCAGUAAGUGAAUGAAUUAUACUUAUGUAUGUAGUUAUUUCCACAUAUGUCUAUACAAUAUUUCAGAUAUGAUCAACUUUAGUGCGUGUGUGACUUUACGGAUGUCAUUUACAUAUAGGUUGAACAAUUUUGGUCCCGGUAUUGACCCCUGGGGUACUCCACAAGAUAUAUUUAAGCUUGCUUUGUUUUGCUCAGUUCAAAAUGAAACCUCUGAUACCACACCAAUUGAUUUUUUAGGACAAGGCAGCACGGCGGACAAUUUGUUAGCGCGCAGGCCACACAGCUUGGGAGACCUGAGUUCGAUUCCACCCUGGGGCAUCUCUGUGUGCAGUUUGCAUGUUCUCCCUGUGCAUGCGUGGGUUUUCUCCAGGUACUGCGGCUUCUUUCCCACAUUCCAAAAACAUGCUAGGUUAAUUGGCGACUCCAAAUUGUCCAUAGGUAUGAAUGUGAGUGUGAAUGGUUGUUUGUCUACAUGUGUCCUGUGAUUGGCUGGCGACCAGUCCAGGGUGUACCCCGCCUCUCGCCCGAAGACAGCUGGGAUAGGCUCCAGCAUGCCGGCAACUCUCAUGAGGAUAAGGAAAAUGAAUGAUUGUACCAAAUGCUUUUGUUAGAUGCAUAAAUACUCAACCUGCACACUGUUUGUGAUUUAUAGCAAUUUAUUUGGUUAUUUCGAUCCAUAGCCCUCUACAACUAACCCCAAUCCGAUUUAUUAGGUUAUUUCGAUGAGUAUCAUCAGAGUUGAAAUGUUGUCUCUGUAUCCAUACUGACUGUCCAUGAAUAAUUCAUUCUUAUUUUUAAAUCUAACAAUUUGUUGGAAAGCUUUUCAAUGAUUUAGAAAAAUUGUGGCAAUAAAGAAACUGGUGUUUGUCUCCAGUCUUUUGAAACAUUUUUUCAAAUCAAUGUCAUGACCAUCAGUCGAUGUUUUCUAUUUGGAUUUAAUCACAAUGUCAAAUGAAAUGUGAUUUUGAGCCAUGCUCAUAUCAGCCCUAACAGCAGUGGAUCUUUAAAUCCUGCAUGCAUGUCCAGUGUGGAACAAAAACAAAACUAUUUCCUUAUUGUCCACCACCAACAACCAAAAAAAACAACAUAAAACUGGAGUGGACGAAUGUGUUCCUAGGCGAUGUGGAACUUGACAAUGUAGACAAGUUGAAGAACACAAAAAAACCCCAAAAAACUCACAGCAAACAAUAAAAUUCUACUGAAAACCAA